UCGAGUUCUGUUUGGAUCACAUCGAGCAAUUAAUAUGGUCCAUAAAUAUCGACCUCAAAGUGGACCAUCUUAUUUACUCAAUGUGAUACAAACAGAACUCGA